GUUUUGGUCCUAAACUUACUGUUACUUUUAAUCAAAUUACACAUGCAGUAUCCACAUACCAGUGAAAUAUGCCCAAACAUAGUAAAACGGAGCAGGUAUCAGGCACGAAACUCAGCCCAAAACACCAAGCUACGCCACACCCACACGGGCCCACAGCAGUGAUAAACAUUAAGCAAUGAGCGAACAAACACACCUUAAAGCUCGACUUAGUUAUGAUUAACAGGGCCGGUCAACCUCGUGCCAGCCACCGCGGUUAUACGAGGGGCCCAAAGCAGCAGAUUUCGGCGUAAAUCGUGACUAGAAUUUAUCCUUUUAACUAAAGAAUAAACCAUAACCUAACCGUAAAACACAGGUUAAAUGAAAACAGCCACCUUUAUAACCAAGGAAAUUUGACUCACGAAAACUAAGAAACAAACUAGGAUUAGAUACCCUACUAUGCUUAGUCGUAAAUAUGACAUAAUACUACACCAAUGUCCGCCAGAAGAUUACGAGCGAAAAGCUUAAAACUCAAAGGACUUGGCGGUGCUCCNCACCAACUUANAGGAGCCUGUCCUAUAAUCGAUACUCC
rnacentral:rRNA from 1 species